UUUGUCCUCUUCUUCCUUGUGUGCUCGCCAUCAUUGGAGGAGAGGAGAGGAGAGGAGAGCUAACUAGGCAACAUAAAAGGUUCACACUCGAGAUUGUUGUCAUUGAUAACAAAUUUUUUUAUUUGUUUACAGUUCUCACACUCGAGAUUGCUACAUAAAGGAGAGAACCAGGAGGAGCACUUACACAACUUUUGUAUCCAAUUAGGCCAGAAGAAUAAUAAUAGUGGCAUGAUGUUCGUCAUAAGAGACAAAGUAAGUAGCCUGUGAGGUUGGAUUAUAUCAGCACACCAUGAAAAUGGACCAGAACAUUCAGAGGCACAUUUUGACCCAUGAAAGAUGCAAAAGUUGAGCAAAGCUGCCUGAGACGUAACUUUCAACACCAACCAUAAGUACGUAAGCCAUUUGCCAUUGCGAGACGAGGGAAAAGCAAACCAAAGACAAUCAGAUAAAUCUCAACGUGGGCCAACCCAAACAUUUGACUUAUGGGCUUGUCAGGUGGUGAUCAGGACUUUCCAGCUGUAACUAUUCAUUUUAAUUCACCUGCUCCUGUAGAAGAAGAAGCUUACACAGGUUCCAUUGUAUUUUCUAUAUUUGUAUUUAUUUAUAUCCUUCUUACUUAGUGCUUAUCAAAUGCUUUAAAUAUUAAGUAAAGGUGAGUUGUACCAAUUCGUAGAAUAGUUUAUCCGUGCUUUUAUUUCCGAGUUCGAAUUCUCCUCUUCUGUAAUAUGAU